AAGUCGUAACAAGGUUUCCGUAGGUGAACCUGCGGAAGGAUCAUUACCGGAUGGGCGAAAAGAGACUGUUGCCAUGACCGUGUAUAUCUACCUACGUAAAAUAAAAGAAAAUAGAUCAUGAAUCUCGAUCAACUUGGCACAAUGGAUCUCUCGGCUCUGG
rnacentral:misc_RNA from 1 species